UACCGGAUAUUCUUUUUUCUCCGCAUGGAGAAGAAUGGAAAGGCGGCUUCGGCUGUCACUUACAGAUGGACCCGCGGCGCAUUAGCUAGUUGGUGGGGUAACGGCCCACCAAGGCGACGAUGCGUAGCCGACCUGAGAGGGUGAUCGGCCACACUGGGACUGAGACACGGCCCAGACUCCUACGGGAGGCAGCAGUAGGGAAUCUUCCGCAAUGGACGAAAGUCUGACGGACCAACGCCGCGUGAGUGAAGAAGGUUUUCGGAUCGUAAAGCUCUGUUGUUAGGGAAGAACAAGUACGGGAGUAACUGUCCCUACCUUGACGGUACCUAACCAGAAAGCCACGGCUAACUACGUGCCAGCAGCCGCGGUAAUACGUAGGUGGCAAGCGUUGUCCGGAAUUAUUGGGAGUAAAGCGCGCGCAGGCGGCUUCUUAAGUCUGAUGUGAAAGCCCAUCGCUCAACCGUGGAGGGUCAUUGGAAACUGGGAGGCUUGAGUGCAGAAGAGGAGAGCGGAAUUCCACGUGUAGCGGUGAAAUGCGUAGAGAUGUGGAGGAACACCAGUGGCGAAGGCGGUUCUCU
rnacentral:rRNA from 1 species